rfam:Triticum aestivum genome assembly, contig: Triticum_aestivum_CS42_TGACv1_scaffold_321045_4BL
AUGAUACUCUCUUCGUCCCAAAAUUCUUGUCUUAGAUUUGUCUAGAUACAGACAUCUGUAUCUAGACAAAUCUAAGACAAGAAUUUUGAGACGGAGGGAGUACCAA